rnacentral:rRNA from 1 species
GACGAACGCUGGCGGCGUGCUUAACACAUGCAAGUCGAACGGAAAGGCCCUGCUUGCAGGGUACUCGAGUGGCGAACGGGUGAGUAACACGUGGGUGAUCUGCCCUGCACUUCGGGAUAAGCCUGGGAAACUGGGUCUAAUACCGGAUAUGACCUUCCAUGUAGUGUGGGGGGUGGAAAGAUUUAUCGGUGUGGGAUGAGCCCGCGGCCUAUCAGCUUGUUGGUGGGGUAAUGGCCUACCAAGGCGUCGACGGGUAGCCGGCCUGAGAGGGUGGGCGGCCACAUUGGGACUGAGAUACGGCCCAGACUCCUACGGGAGGCAGCAGUGGGGAAUAUUGCACAAUGGGCGGAAGCCUGAUGCAGCGACGCCGCGUGGGGGAUGACGGCCUUCGGGUUGUAAACCUCUUUCGACAGGGACGAAGCUUCGGUGACGGUACCUGUAUAAGAAGCACCGGCUAACUACGUG